rnacentral:rRNA from 1 species
ACGUAGGAGGCGAACGUUAUCCGGAUUUACUGGGCGUAAAGCGCGUGUAGGUGGUUCUGUAAGUAGGGCGUGCAAGCUCCUGUCUCCCCUGGUAUCGGCCGUUCUAAACUACAGAACUAGAGGAUGGUAGAGGGAGGUGGAAUUCCAGGUGUAGCGGUGGAAUGCGCAGAUAUCUGGAGGAACACCAGUGGCGAAGGCGGCCUCCUGGACCAUUCCUGACACUCAGACGCGAAAGCUAGGGUAGCAAACGG